UUCGAUUCGAGCGAAAGCGAGAAAGCGUUGCCGCAGGCAACGACCCGAAGGGCGAAGCGCGCAGCGCUGAGUCAUCCUUCCCCCACCACCA
rnacentral:sRNA from 3 species